rnacentral:rRNA from 1 species
AUAUAUGUUAAGUGGAAAAGGAUGUGGCGUUGCCCAGACAACUAGGAUGUUGGCUUAGAAGCAGCCAUCAUUUAAAGAGUGCGUAAUAGCUCACUAGUCGAGUGACACUGCGCCGAAAAUGUACCGGGGCUAAACAUAUUACCGAAGCUGUGGAUUGUCCUUUGGACAAUGGUAGGAGAGCGUUCUAAGGGCGUUGAAGCAUGAUCGUAAGGACAUGUGGAGCGCUUAGAAGUGAGAAUGCCGGUGUGAGUAGCGAAAGACGGGUGAGAAUCCCGUCCACCGAUUGACUAAGGUUUCCAGAGGAAGGCUCGUCCGCUCUGGGUUAGUCGGGUCCUAAGCUGAGGCCGACAGGCGUAGGCGAUGGAUAACAGGUUGAUAUUCCUGUACCACCUAUAAUCGUUUUAAUCGAUGGGGGGACGCAGUAGGAUAGGCGAAGCGUGCGAUUGGAUUGCACGUCUAAGCAGUAAGGCUGAGUAUUAGGCAAAUCCGGUACUCGUUAAGGCUGAGCUGUGAUGGGGAGAAGACAUUGUGUCUUCGAGUCGUUGAUUUCACACUGCCGAGAAAAGCCUCUAGAUAGAAAAUAGGUGCCCGUACCGCAAACCGACAC